rnacentral:piRNA from 1 species
UCUGAUGCGAGGAGGAAGCCUAAGUAAGU